GGAAGAAAGCCUGGUCGGACCCUGGGCCAGAGAUAGGUGUCCAGGGUGGAGGUGAGGGCACCUCCCUAAUCCUCUCCCUACUCCUGUUCUUCAGCCAUAGGCAGAACUUGAAGACGUGACCCCUGUGGCUCCCUCCUGGUCACCAUCUCCAUCACAAACAAGUCUCCAAGCAAAGAAAUCUAGGCCGGACAACCAAGGAGCAGAAAAAUAACCUCCUGCUGGGUCUCCUGCUUCACAAAACCUGACUACAACUGGAGGAGCUGCCCUUUCUGGGGAAGAGAUGAGAAGGAGACAAUGAACUGUGAAGACAUCCUACAUCAUCCUGUAUCAUGAGGUCGAACACUAAAGCACCACUAGAGUCCUAUUCAGUGGUCCUUGUUCUGGGGCCCCUGGAAAAUGUGCUGAAGGUUAUUUUAAUUGAGCAACAAGAGAAUGAUAUGUUACACCAAGGACUGGAGCCUCAAAGACAGGCAGAUACUACUGCCUUCCUGAUGGAAAGAUGAAACUGGACAGCACAAUUCAGCUAUUCAGUGUCUGAUUCAAAGAACGGCAACCGGGACCAGGAAAGCACAGAACCAGAGGCUGCUUCAGAUCUCAGAUUUCUUUCUGACUUUAUGAUUUUCCUCUGGUUUGUUCAAAGUUGAGUCCUCUUGCAUUUGCAGAUUUACAUUUGCAGGUUUGGAAGUAAAGGAAAAAUACGUUUUAUUAUCAUCAGAUAUUAUUAUUAAUUCUUCCUGGCAGUAGAAAUUGUUUUACCUAGUGUUAUGCUGACAAAAUGUCUAACAAACUUUCCAGAAAAAAACAAGAAAAUACCCUGAUUAGAAGCACUUGCUAAUUUCUGUGGUGUAAAUCCUCCCUCCAUGGCAGAUUUCAAGUGCUGAAAUAGAUGUCGCUGAAUGUGGAGUUUGAAAAGAGAUAUAACAGCUAGCUUUGAGCAAGUUCCAAUGAUUUCAGCUGUUAUUUCAAAAAAAGAUAUUCACCUUUAAAAGUAUUGAUUACAUUCUUCAGCUCUGCUUGACUUUUUCUUGACGUUCUUUGAAGAAAGUGAUAUAUUAUACACAAGAGGCAGAG
rnacentral:lncRNA from 1 species